rnacentral:rRNA from 1 species
GAUGAACGCUGGCGGCGUGCCUAAUACUUGCAAGUCGAGCGAACAGACGAGGAGCUUGCUCCUCUGACGUUAGCGGCGGACGGGUGAGUAACACGUGGAUAACCUACCUAUAAGACUGGGAUAACUUCGGGAAACCGGAGCUAAUACCGGAUAAUAUAUUGAACCGCAUGGUUCAAUAGUGAAAGACGGUUUUGCUGUCACUUAUAGAUUGAUCCGCGCCGCAUUAGCUAGUUGGUAAGGUAACGGCUUACCAAGGCAACGAUGCGUAGCCGACCUGAGAGGGUGAUCGGCCAAACUGGAACUGAGACACGGUCCAGACGCCUACGGGAGGCAGCAGUAGGGAAUCUUCCGCAAUGGGCGAAAGCCUGACGGAACAACGCCGCGUGGGUGAUGAAGGUCUUCGGAUCGUAAAGCUCUGUUAUUAGGGAAGAACAAAUGUGUAAGUAACUGUGCACGUAUUGACGGUACCUAAUCAGAAAGCCACGGCUAACUACGUG